rnacentral:rRNA from 1 species
GAUGAACGCUGGCGGCGUGCCUAAUACAUGCAAGUCGAGCGAACGGACGAGAAGCUUGCUUUUCUGAUGUUAGCGGCGGACGGGUGAGUAACACGUGGAUAACCUACCUAUAAGACUGGGAUAACUUCGGGAAACCGGAGCUAAUACCGGAUAAUAUUUUGAACCGCAUGGUUCAAAAGUGAAAGACGGUCUUGCUGUCACUUAUAGAUGGAUCCGCGCUGCAUUAGCUAGUUGGUAAGGUAACGGCUUACCAAGGCAACGAUGCAUAGCCGACCUGAGAGGGUGAUCGGCCACACUGGAACUGAGACACGGUCCAGACUCCUACGGGAGGCAGCAGUAGGGAAUCUUCCGCAAUGGGCGAAAGCCUGACGGAGCAACGCCGCGUGAGUGAUGAAGGUCUUCGGAUCGUAAAACUCUGUUAUUAGGGAAGAACAUAUGUGUAAGUAACUGUGCACAUCUUGACGGUACCUAAUCAGAAAGCCACGGCUAACUACGUGCCAGCAGCCGCGGUAAUACGUAGGUGGCAAGCGUUAUCCGGAAUUAUUGGGCGUAAAGCGCGCGUAGGCGGUUUUUUAAGUCUGAUGUGAAAGCCCACGGCUCAACCGUGGAGGGUCAUUGGAAACUGGAAAACUUGAGUGCAGAAGAGGAAAGUGGAAUUCCAUGUGUAGCGGUGAAAUGCGCAGAGAUGUGGAGGAACACCAGUGGCGAAGGCGACUUUCUGGUCUGUAACUGACGCUGAUGUGCGAAAGCGUGGGGAUCAAACAGGAUUAGAUACCCUGGUAGUCCACGCCGUAAACGAUGAGUGCUAAGUGUUAGGGGGUUUCCGCCCCUUAGUGCUGCAGCUAACGCAUUAAGCACUCCGCCUGGGGAGUACGACCGCAAGGUUGAAACUCAAAGGAAUUGACGGGGGCCCGCACAAGCGGUGGAGCAUGUGGUUUAAUUCGAAGCAACGCGAAGAACCUUACCAAAUCUUGACAUCCUUUGACAACUCUAGAGAUAGAGCCUUCCCCUUCGGGGGACAAAGUGACAGGUGGUGCAUGGUUGUCGUCAGCUCGUGUCGUGAGAUGUUGGGUUAAGUCCCGCAACGAGCGCAACCCUUAAGCUUAGUUGCCAUCAUUAAGUUGGGCACUCUAAGUUGACUGCCGGUGACAAACCGGAGGAAGGUGGGGAUGACGUCAAAUCAUCAUGCCCCUUAUGAUUUGGGCUACACACGUGCUACAAUGGACAAUACAAAGGGCAGCGAAACCGCGAGGUCAAGCAAAUCCCAUAAAGUUGUUCUCAGUUCGGAUUGUAGUCUGCAACUCGACUACAUGAAGCUGGAAUCGUUAGUAAUCGUAGAUCAGCAUGCUACGGUGAAUACGUUCCCGGGUCU